AAUGAACGCUGGCGGCAGGCCUAACACAUGCAAGUCGAACGAGGUAGCAAUACCUAGUGGCGGACGGGUGAGUAACACGUGGGAACGUACCCUUUGCUACGGAAUAGCCCUGGGAAACUGGGAGUAAUACCGUAUGAGCCCGAGAGGGGAAAGAUUUAUCGGCAAAGGAUCGGCCCGCGUUGGAUUAGGUAGUUGGUGGGGUAAUGGCCUACCAAGCCGACGAUCCAUAGCUGGUUUGAGAGGAUGAUCAGCCACACUGGGACUGAGACACGGCCCAGACUCCUACGGGAGGCAGCAGUGGGGAAUCUUAGACAAUGGGGGAAACCCUGAUCUAGCCAUGCCGCGUAAUCGAUGAAGGCCUUAGGGUUGUAAAGAUCUUUCAGGUGGGAAGAUAAUGACUGUACCACCAGAAGAAGCCCCGGCUAACUCCGUGCCAGCAGCCGCGGUAAU
rnacentral:rRNA from 1 species